GUUCGGGUUACGUAGCAAAGGACUGGUAUACUUAGUAAGUUUCACUGGAAUAGAGCCGGGACUGAACCUAUGACUGGAAUGUGGAUAGAUGGAGAACCGAAUCUAACUGGUCUUUGUGUCCGGCUUACCACGGAGGUUUUAAUGGGCGCUCCUACCGCAACGCCCAAAGACAUUUAUUUGCUGGCUGACAACCCAUGCUCAAGUCUGUACAUGUCUUUGUGCGAGAAGUCUGCAGAUCUAAAAAAGCCAGUGUAUUACGGUAGAACAAGUGCUUGCAAGAAUUGCUGCCCCUUAACUCCGCUCACCACUGCUAGAAGAUUAGAUUGUGCAUGGGCGUGUUCCAAGUUGAAAGAGUGCGUUGGGUUCCAGUUCACUCGGACUUCAUCUCAGUGUCUUCCUCUAGUCUUUCAACACCUCGUGCUCCCUGAGUGUCAGCUUGAACUCUGUCAUGUAUACGGCGAUCCAACCAAGAUGUUAAGCCGGCACAGCUUUUAGCAAAACUUUUGACCUAAUUUAGUCCUGUUUUUUUAAAUAAUUUAGUCUAUUUUUAAAAUAAUUUAGA
rnacentral:sRNA from 1 species